AGAACUUCCCUUCAUGAUGCUAUGCAAUCCCCAGGAGAAGCACGUUGAAAGCUGAAAUGCACUGAAUCCGGAUGGAUCUUUCCACCUUCAUCCCCAAAUGUGAAGAAAGUGGUGAAAAUUGCAUUUCCCUCACAGGCUAGAGAAGAGUCUCAGAGAAUAGCUGGCCAGACUUGGCAUGUAAUGUGAGCAAAAAUGACCCCUUGAAAUUUUAAGCCAUGAGAUUUGGGGGAGUUGUUUGUUGAGCAUUAGUAUUAAUUUAACAAAAGCUGACAGACAUUGAGGAUGGAAAAAAGAAACAAAGAAAAGCAAGAAGAUAAAAAAAAAGGCCAGAUCAUUCAGGAACCUGUAGGCAAUAUUAAGGAUUUUGUUUAAACAUACGAAUAAUGGGAAGUCAUUGAAACCAGGUCUUGACACAAUCAGGAUUUUGUUUAAGAAGAGGAGAAAUCACUCUGGCCAUACCAAAAACCAAAACAAUAUAAUAACCCCAAAUGGGCAAAAAUGCAGAUGAAUGUUCGUAAGUUAUUGCAGCAAGGAAGGCUAUCUAAAAUGUAUUGAGUACUUGUUGCUAGGCUUUCUUCUAAGGACUUUACACAAUGUAAUGGCUAAUUAAAUCAUUAUAAUGAGGUAGGCCAUUUUAUUUUUCCUAUUAACUAUGAGCAAAUUGAGGCACAAGGAAGAUGUCUUAGUCCAUUCGUGCUUCCAUAACAAAAUACAAUAAGGUGGGUGGCUUGUAAACAAUAGAAAUGUAUUUGUCACAGAUGUGGAGGUUGGGAAGUCCAAGGUCAAGGUGCCAGCAGAUUUAAUGUCUGGUAAGGGUCUACUUUCUGGUACACAGGUAGUGACUUCUGGCAGUGUUCUUAUUGGUGGAAGGGCCAAGGCAGACCUCUUGGGCUUUUCUUAUAAGGGCAACUAAUCCCAUUCAGAAGGGCUCCACUCUCAUGAUCUCAUCUCCUCCCAAAGGCCUCACAUGGUAAUAUCACAUUGGUGAUUAAGUUUGUAAACCAGAAAUAAAAUUCUAAGCCAAUUCUAAGCCCACCUCUCCCUUUGGCCAAGGGCAUUCCAAAUUAUUCUGAAAAACUAUUUCAGGCCAUGUUGGGAAAUGGGGGUCAGACAAACAUCAACACAGAGAUCUUAAGCCUGAUAGAACAGACUCUUUAAAUCUGAUAAGAAACAUUUACAGUCUAUUUUUUCUGAAAUCCUGCUACCUGGAGCCUUCAUCUGCAUGAUAAAACCUUGGUUUCCAC
rnacentral:lncRNA from 10 species